rnacentral:rRNA from 1 species
CUCAAAUGAAUUGACGGGGGCCCGCACAAGCGGUGGAGCAUGUGGUUUAAUUCGAUGCAACGCGAAGAACCUUACCUGGUCUUGACAUCCACAGAACUUUCCAGAGAUGGAUUGGUGCCUUCGGGAACUGUGAGACAGGUGCUGCAUGGCUGUCGUCAGCUCGUGUUGUGAAAUGUUGGGUUAAGUCCCGCAACGAGCGCAACCCUUAUCCUUUGUUGCCAGCGGUUCGGCCGGGAACUCAAAGGAGACUGCCAGUGAUAAACUGGAGGAAGGUGGGGAUGACGUCAAGUCAUCAUGCCCUUACGACCAGGGCUACACACGUGCUACAAUGGCAUAUACAAAGAGAAGCGACCUCGCGAGAGCAAGCGGACCUCAUAAAGUAUGUCGUAGUCCGGAUUGGAGUCUGCAACUCGACUCCAUGAAGUCGGAAUCGACUAGUAAUCGUAGAUCAGAAUGCUACGGUGAAUACGUUCCCGGGCCUUGUACACACCGCCCGUCACACCAUGGG